CAGCCGCCGCGGUAAUACGCAGGUGGCGAGCGUUGCCCGGAAUUACUGGGCGUAAAGGGUGCGUAGGCGGCCGGACAAGUCAUAGGUUAAAGCCCGGAGCUCAACUCCGGAAAGGCCUAUGAUACUGUCUGGCUUGAGGGCCGGAGAGGCUGGCGGAAUUCCCGGUGUAGGGGUGAAAUCCGUAGAUAUCGGGAGGAACACCGGUGGGGAAGCCGGCCAGCUGGACGGUUCCUGACGCUGAGGCACGAAAGCGUGGGGAGCAAACCGGAUUAGAUACCCGGGUAGUCCACGCCGUAAACGAUGGGCGCUAGGUGUGGGGGUGAAAGCCUCUGUGCCGUAGCUAACGCGUUAAGCGCCCCGCCUGGGGAGUACGGCCGCAAGGCUGAAACUUAAAGGAAUUGGCGGG
rnacentral:rRNA from 1 species